rnacentral:rRNA from 1 species
GGGCCCGCACAAGCGGUGGAGCAUGUGGUUUAAUUCGAAGCAACGCGAAGAACCUUACCAGGCCUUGACAUCCCCUGACCGUCAUGGAAACAUGGCUUCUCUUCGGAGCAGGGAGACAGGUGGUGCAUGGUCGUCGUCAGCUCGUGUCGUGAGAUGUUGGGUUAAGUCCCGCAACGAGCGCAACCCUUGCCUUUAGUUGCCAUCAUUAAGUUGGGCACUCUAGAGGGACUGCCGGUGACAAACCGGAGGAAGGUGGGGAUGACGUCAGAUCAUCAUGCCCCUUAUGGUCUGGGCUACACACGUGCUACAAUGGUCUGUACAGAGGGCAGCGAAACCGUGAGGUGGAGCGAAUCCCAGAAAGCAGAUCUCAGUUCGGAUUGCAGGCUGCAACUCGCCUGCAUGAAGUCGGAAUCGCUAGUAAUCGCAGGUCAGCAUACUGCGGUGAAUACGUUCCCGGGCCUU